rnacentral:rRNA from 1 species
GACGAACGCUGGCGGCGUGCUUAACACAUGCAAGUCGAACGAUGAAGCUGGAGCUUGCUCUAGCGGAUUAGUGGCGAACGGGUGAGUAACACGUGAGCAAUCUGCCCUUGACUCUGGGAUAACUGCGGGAAACUGUAGCUAAUACCGGGUACUUUCACCGGGGGGCAUCCUCUGGUGACGAAAGAAUUUCGGUCAAGGAUGAGCUCGCGGCCUAUCAGCUUGUUGGUGAGGUAACGGCUCACCAAGGCGACGACGGGUAACCGGCCUGAGAGGGUGACCGGUCACACUGGGACUGAGACACGGCCCAGACUCCUACGGGAGGCAGCAGUGGGGAAUAUUGCACAAUGGGCGCAAGCCUGAUGCAGCAACGCCGCGUGAGGGAUGAAGGCCUUCGGGUUGUAAACCUCUUUUAGCAGGGAAGAAGCGAAAGUGACGGUACCUGCAGAAAAAGCACCGGCUAACUACGUGCCAGCCGCCGCAGUAA